UGAAACCGUUCAGGGGUAAACCUGAGAAACCCAAAAGAUCGAAUGGGGAGAUUCAUCGUCAACGGCGCUGGCUCCCGUUGGUGCGCGAUGCCCCGAAUGGGACCGUUUGGUUCCACGGCGAGGGCACACCACCUUCGGCUUGAAUGUUCCGGUGCCGUAGUCGUGCACUUCUCCCCUAGUAGAACGUCGCGACCCGUUGUGUGUCGGUCUACGGCCCGAGCGGGCGCCUGUCGCGUCGCUUCGCGCGCACGCGGCAGACCCUCGGUUGCCUGGCCGGCUGCACGACGGUACUCCCACGGUAUCGGGCCGCAACCAAUCCAUUCUCGAAUGUCUGUGCGUCAGGCCCGCCGCAAGCUCGGUCAGUUUUACCCGGAGGUGCGGACCUAGUGCCGUCCCCGGGCCUGGCCAGCUGUUAGCAGGCGGUGUCCUCGGACUGGCCAAGCUUUGAAUUACCGGUCGGCGACGCUAUUGCUUUGGGUACUCUCAGGACCCGUCUUGAAACACGGACCAAGGAGUCUAACAUGUGCGCGAGUCAUUGGGAUGUAUAAACCUAAAGGCGCAAUGAAAGUGAAGGUCGGCCUUUGCGUCGAUCGAGGGAGGAUGGGCCGCGUUACGAUACGGCCCCGCACUCCCGGGGCGUCUCGUUCUCAUUGCGAGAAGAGGCGCACCCAGAGCGUACACGUUGGGACCCGAAAGAUGGUGAACUAUGCCUGGUCAGGACGAAGUCAGGGGAAACCCUGAUGGAGGUCCGUAGCGAUUCUGACGUGCAAAUCGAUCGUCGGAACUGGGUAUAGGGGCGAAAGACUAAUCGAACCAUCUAGUAGCUGGUUCCCUCCGAAGUUUCCCUCAGGAUAGCUGGCACUCGCUUGUUCCUUUCGAACGCGUGCGAGUCUCAUCUGGUAAAGCGAAUGAUUAGAGGCCUUGGGGCCGAAACGACCUCAACCUAUUCUCAAACUUUAAAUGGGUGAGAUCUCUGGCUUGCUUGGAUCAUGAAGCCAUGAGAUUUUUUGGAUCAGAGUGCCAAGUGGGCCAUUUUUGGUAAGCAGAACUGGCGCUGUGGGAUGAACCAAACGCAGAGUUAAGGCGCCUAAGUCGACGCUUAUGGGAUACCAUGAAAGGCGUUGGUUGCUUAAGACAGCAGGACGGUGGCCAUGGAAGUCGGAAUCCGCU
rnacentral:rRNA from 1 species